CCUACGGGAGGCAGCAGUGAGGAAUAUUGGUCAAUGGACGAGAGUCUGAACCAGCCAAGUAGCGUGAAGGAUGACUGCCCUAUGGGUUGUAAACUUCUUUUAUAUGGGAAUAAAAUGUUCCACGUGUGGGAUUUUGUAUGUACCAUAUGAAUAAGGAUCGGCUAACUCCGUGCCAGCAGCCGCGGUAAUACGGAGGAUCCGAGCGUUAUCCGGAUUUAUUGGGUUUAAAGGGAGCGUAGGUGGAUUGUUAAGUCAGUUGUGAAAGUUUGCGGCUCAACCGUAAAAUUGCAGUUGAAACUGGCAGUCUUGAGUACAGUAGAGGUGGGCGGAAUUCGUGGUGUAGCGGUGAAAUGCUUAGAUAUCACGAAGAACUCCGAUUGCGAAGGCAGUUCACUGGACUGCAACUGACACUGAGGCUCGCAAGUGUGGGUAUCAAACAGGAUUAGAUACCCCAGUAGUC
rnacentral:rRNA from 1 species